ensembl:snoRNA small nucleolar RNA snR60/Z15/Z230/Z193/J17
CUGAUGCAAUGAUGAGCCCAUAGUUCAGCAGAGAAAUCAUGAAGAAUAAUUCUUUCGCUCCUAUCUGAUGUGUCAC